rnacentral:misc_RNA from 1 species
GCAAUUCUUUCAUGGUUUUCUUCAAGGGCUUCCUGAAGUGCCUUCAAGUUCACCUGCUUCUCAAGUUCCCCUAGGGGCAAUACCAAUUCUUCUAAUGGGAAACACAUCAAUUCUUCUGUUGCUGGUAUGCAAAUAUUGAACUUUUGUGCUUACAAAUUCUAGGGACCUUAAAAUUAUAAUCAGGUUCUUAAAUUUUUGAUAUAUUUCCCUAAUAAUACUCCCCUUUUCUGGAAUUUCAGCUUCUCCAAUGGUUCAAGUGACACCAAGACCUGUUAUCAUGGGAUUAGGGCUUGGUCAGAAUGCUGGUAGAAAGUUUAAGGCAGAAAGGCUCUUGGUGCUUUUGGUGACUCUGGCAGCUACUCUUCUGUAAUGAAUACUAGUAAGGA